rnacentral:rRNA from 1 species
AUUGAACGCUGGCGGCAUGCCUUACACAUGCAAGUCGAACGGCAGCACGGGAGCAAUCCUGGUGGCGAGUGGCGAACGGGUGAGUAAAGCAUCGGAACGUGCCCAGUCGUGGGGGAUAACGUAGCGAAAGCUACGCUAAUACCGCAUACGAUCUGUGGAUGAAAGCGGGGGACCGUAAGGCCUCGCGCGAUUGGAGCGGCCGAUGUCAGAUUAGGUAGUUGGUGAGGUAAAGGCUCACCAAGCCGACGAUCUGUAGCCGGUCUGAGAGGACGACCAGACACACGGGGACUGGGAAACGGCCCAGACUCCUACGGGAGGCAGCAGUGGGGAAUUUUGGACAAUGGGCGAAAGCCUGAUCCAGCAAUGCCGCGUGCAGGAUGAAGGCCUUCGGGUUGUAAACUGCUUUUGUACGGAGCGAAAAGGCUUCCACUAAUACUGGGGGCUCAUGACGGUACCGUAAGAAUAAGCACCGGCUAACUACGUGCCAGCCGCCGCCGUAACAC